GUCUUUGACCAUUCCACCUGGAAUGCAUUUGAUCUCAUCUGGUGUCAGAAGCUAAGCAGACCCCUUAGUAAGUGCUUGGAUGAGAGGUGUUAAGCCU
rnacentral:rRNA from 14 species